rnacentral:sRNA from 1 species
GCCGGGCGUGGUGGCGGGCACCUGUAAUCCCAGCUACUGGGGAGGCUGAGGGAGGGGAAUUGCUAGACCCCGGGAGCUGGAGGUUGCAGUGAGCCAAGAACGUGCCACUGCACUCCAGCCUGGGCGACAGAGAGAGACUCCAUCUCAAUAAAUCAAUCAAUCAAUAAAUAUUAAAAAAAAAAAAGAACUGGCUGGAUUAUAAAUUUCUUUUUUUUUUGUGAGACAGAGUCUCCUCACUCUGUCGCCAGGCUGGAGUAGAGUGGUGCGAUCUUGGCUCACUGCAACCUCUACCUCCUGGGUUCAAGCGAUUCCCCGCCUCA